UAACCGGCGGUUCCUGAAUCGUGGUCACCCCUAUCUCUCUCAAAUCAUUGGCUUCAAGCUUUGUGUUCUCAUUAAGUGGAGUCGGCUGGCUUAACUUGAUUGAGGAGUAGUUUUUCUUUGCUUUGGCCAAGUCUUGGUUGCUUUUGAAAGGAAGGUUUCUCCUAAUUUAGAGCUUGAUCAGUCCAUCUUGCACAGUGCUCGACGUCGGCAAUGCUUUACAAAGAAGAAGCUUCCAGCGAUCUUGUUGGAUGCUAGGGUUUAGGCUUUCAUGUUUUGGGUGCUACGCCUUUGGUUGG
rnacentral:misc_RNA from 1 species